rnacentral:rRNA from 1 species
AUGAUGCUUGCUUUACAACAAUCUAACAUUCCAGUCAUUGUCCAAUCUAAUUCAGGUGAAGCUUUGUCUACUCUUACAAGAGAUGGACUAGUUCAUUCUGCCUAUGGACAUUUGGUGGCUGAAAUUAAGGAGUUGAUGAAAGACCGGGAGUUUAUUCCCCGGAAAUUAUCUAGGGAUCAAAAUAGAGUUGCCGAUAGUUUGGCAAAUUAUAGUCGUUUAGAGUGCACCACGGCUGUGUGGUUGCACCUAGGUCCACAAUGUAUUGAGGAUCUUUUGCCUCUCGACUGUAACUCUCUCAUUAUGGAAUAA